GCAGUUGUUCAUGGACAGAGUGUCUGUUCUGAAACAGAUACCUGAUGGUAUGUUGCAGCUGCAAAGAGAUGCAAAGACUGUCACAGGGGAGCUACCGUCCUUGGAUCUUUUAUCUUCUCUAACACCCUUUCAAAAUUGCCUAAUCAUUUGCGACUCAGUUGGACAGGUAAUUAUGAAAUAUAAUAGAGAAUCUGGUGAGAGCUCAAGCAUCCAAUUUUCAAAUUUUGGGGUCAAUGGAGGAGAAAGGGCGAUGGUUGGAGGUCAAUGGAAGCUAGAUAUUUGAUCCCACAAUUUAAGUAUAUAUUGGGAAUGGAGAAAGGGCGAUAGGUUGGAGGUCAAUGGAAUUGGGAAUGGAGAAAGGGCGAUAGGUUGGAGGUCAAUGGAAUUGGGAAUGGAGAAAGGGCGAUCGGUUGGAGGUCAAUGGAAGCUAGAUGUUUGAUCCCACAAUUUACUAGAUGAUAGAAGUUAUGAACCAGUAUCUAUCGGAGUUUCCAAUUGUGGCAAUGUAUACCGAGUUUCUAGGUAAAAAUUAAAUGUUGGUGGUGAAGAGUUAUUUAGGAAUUUUUUGAGUUUUGUUUUACAUUCAUCUUUUCUGAGAAUUAUAAGAUCGUGAAACCAAAAAAGUGAAUUGACUGA